rnacentral:rRNA from 1 species
GGCGUAAAGCGCACGCAGGCGGUCUGUCAAGUCGGAUGUGAAAUCCCCGGGCUCAACCUGGGAACUGCAUUCGAAACUGGCAGGCUAGAGUCUUGUAGAGGGGGGUAGAAUUCCAGGUGUAGCGGUGAAAUGCGUAGAGAUCUGGAGGAAUACCGGUGGCGAAGGCGGCCCCCUGGACAAAGACUGACGCUCAGGUGCGAAAGCGUGGGGAGCAAACAGGAUUAGAUACCCUGGUAGUCCACGCCGUAAACGAUGUCGACUUGGAGGUUGUGCCCUUGAGGCGUGGCUUCCGGAGCUAACGCGUUAAGUCGACCGCCUGGGGAGUACGGCCGCAAGGUUAAAACUCAAAUGAAUUGACGGGGGCCCGCACAAGCGGUGGAGCAUGUGGUUUAAUUCGAUGCAACGCGAAGAACCUUACCUACUCUUGACAUCCAGAGAACUUUCCAGAGAUGGAUUGGUGCCUUCGGGAAACUCUGA